rnacentral:rRNA from 1 species
UACAGAGGUCCCAAGCGUUGUUCGGAUUCACUGGGCGUAAAUGGUGCGUAGGUGGUGAGGUAAGUCGGAUGUGAAAUCUCUGGGCUCAACCCGGAAAUGGCAUUGGAAACUACCUUGCUUGAGGGUUUGAGGGGGGAUUGGAAUACUUGGUGUAGCAGUGAAAUGCGUAGAUAUCAAGGGGAACACCAGUGGCGAAGGCGAAUCCCUGGAAAAUACCUGACACUGAGGCACGAAAGCUAGGGGAGCGAACGGG